CAACCAUCAAGCCCCUCGGCUUGUGUUGGGGCCCUGCGGCCGCCCGCAGCCCCCGGAAUGCAGUGGCGGGCUCGUUGUCACCCCGAGUGCAGUAAUGCUCUUCUCUCUGGGCGUGGCGGCGGGUUCCGGCCGUGAAACAACCAAACCCAUCAA
rnacentral:misc_RNA from 1 species